AAGAUGGGACAGAGGGAGACAGUGAGAUGUGGGGUGAAUCCAGGGCCUAUGGUGAACAUGCAUUCUGAACUCCAGGGCGGGAAAGGGACCCUGGGGUCUCAGGCCGCCCACCAUGCCCUCCUCAGUUGGGUCAUGGGAACAUUCCAUGUAGAAAAAGGGUCAUGUGUCUCAUGUGAACUCCAUGCUCUUGGGAUCAUACCCCAUACUCUGCGAGUACCCUCUGCAGGGUCCUUCUGCCUCAGGACAGAGACCACCUGGCAGGCUGUUGACCUGUCAGCAAACACCACAGAUUCCAUUCAAAUGGGGGCUCUGGAGGUGACAGGUCAUGGAAGGAAGCAGACUGUGGUGCCAGGGCUGCCAGAGGGUGUGGAGAGUGAGACUUUCAUGGUUGUGGGACCUUUGGUUUUAUGAGAUGAAAAAUUCUGUGAAUAGUGUGAGGGCUCCGCAGCAAGGUGAAUGUAUCUGAUGCCUCGGAAACAUGAACUCAAAAUGGUGAUGAUGGUAAAGGGUGUGUGAUGUAUUAUAGUUCACUUAAAUUAUAAAACUGAUGUCUUACUGAGAUUCCAAUUUGACUACCCUAACAAAUGUGAGAGGCUGAAGCUCUGUCCCCACCAAGGAGGCCAUCAUGGUACUUUCACAUGGCACAUGGGGACAAUUCUCAGGGGGCUAGUCUGUGCUACCUGAGCUCUGUCUAGGGGAACCCAGACAGUGGUGACCACAUGGGUGAGGUAUAUGAUAUACCAUGAUGUUAAUACGAUGACACCAAGGGUUGUCAGUCAGCAGAACACGGAGCAGUGACCACUUAAAUGUGCCUGUCCUCCUAGGAACAUGACCAGAUAAAAAGAAAGGAGACCACAGGUUAAACAGGGUAACACCCUCAUUUCAGAUGUUUGAAACUUCAGAGAAGACAAGACAUACUGGAGGCCAAGGGCAGACAUGGAGUCUCCCCUGCACAGAGCCUGACCCACACAAUCCCCAGAGCCUGCACUGGGGGCUCGAGUCUACACUCACCAGGGUGACCCCAUCUCUCUAGACCCUGCACCUGGGGUCACACCUAGGGCUGUGCUGGCCGGGCCCCCAAUGUGGGAAUAAGCCAGGUCCCUGGGACCUGCUAGGGCUGUAGAAAGAAGUGUAGGGUCCUCUAACACUUGUCCCAGAGAAGUCUGUUCUUACCUGUUUUCACUUUAAUUCUGGGUUAUUUUAUUUUUGCUUUUUAGGGCUGUACCCGAGGCAUAUGGAGCUUCCCAAGCUAGGGGUGCAAACAGAGCUAUAGCAGCAGGCCUACGCCACAGCCACAUCAGAUCUCAUGGCUCCUAGUCAGAUUUGUUUCUUCUGCGUGCCACAGUGGGAACUCCUGGUUCUGGGUUAUUUUAAUUGUUUUUAACCUUUUAUGCUAAAGUUGUACACACCACUUUUGGUUCUGGCAGGCUCAGCCUUUUCCUGGCUUGCUGAAGUGUUGUGAAAACUCAUGGGAAGGCAGGGCUGAAAGAGGAGGUGCAGGUCUGGACUCUGCUGAGUAAGAUCGGCAACUGCAAGGAGAACCCAGAGGCAAAUUUUGCCACUGCUGAUGGGCCUUACACCCAGACCCACCUGCCAGCAAUCAGUUCACCAGGCAAACCUACUUCCCUCUUCAUCCUGUGCAUCCUGGUGAAUUAGUCUAUUUUUAUUUAUUUCUUUUAAUGGCCGCACCCACAGCAUUUGGAAGUUACUGGGCCAGGGAUUUAAUAUGAGCUGCAGCAGCACAACCCACUGUGCCAGGCCAGGGAUUGAACCUGCACCUCUGAAGCAACCAGAGCCGCUGCGGAUUUUUUUUUUAAGGGCUGCAGGUGCAGCAUGUGGAAGUUCUCAGGCUAGGGGCCAAAUCCAAGCUACAGCUGCUGGCCUACACAACAGUCACAGCCAUGCCAGAUCUGAGCUGUGUUUGUGACCACAGCUUGUGGGAACACCAGAUCCUUAACCCACUGGGCGGGGCCAGAGAUUGAACCCACAUCCUCAUAGUACUAAGUGGGGUUUGUUUCUGCUGAACCACAAUGGGAACUCCCUGCAAUCAGGUUCUUAACCCACUGCACCACAGCAAGAACUCACUGGUGAAUUGGUUUAAUUAUGAGGUAGCUCACCUGAAGAGCCUCCACCAUCCCCAGGGGUAAGGACUAAGGCCCCUCCCACAGCCAUGACCCCUGGGAGGGCAGAAAACCAACCUCAGAUCAGAGGCUAUGACUAGACAAGCAUACCUCAGCUCCAUACCUGACAUCUAAGCAUAGCAUCUGGACAGAGGCUCAGAGCUUCCCAGGUCUAAGGCCAGUCUGCAUCUCUACCCAGGACCCCAUGUUCCUCCCACCCACCAAAGCUCUCAGGACUGAGGCUGGGUCUCUACCCAGGUCUCCACAUCCUAGCAUGGGUGGAAUCUGGCUAGGUCUAAACAUAUGCAGUGUAGACAGGGCAUGGAAAGGUCUAAAUCUACCACAUAGAACUCACUCAGAUUUAAACUAAUUUAGGGCUGCUCUCCUGGGAGGCACAGAUCAUACACAUGGGGUCUCUCACCUCUGGACAGGGGCUCACCCUUGGCGAGAAGUAGGAUGUUCAUUUCUUGGAGAAUAAAUCGUCAACCUCCACAGUUCACCUACAUUGGGAAACUGCACAAAAUGUUUGUCAUUAAACAUUUCAUCAGGCAAAGCAAAAAUGUCACCAAUUUCUCUGGUCACGUGAUGGUCAGGACCCAGAAUUAGCCCAGAGUUUCUUGUCGUGCAGCCCAGCCUCCCACAAGGACAGAUCAGAAGUGGCCCAAUUCCACCGUCCCAGGUCCCCGCUAGAGCAUCCAUCCCGUUGACAACUAAAACGACUCAUAUGCGUACACUAGAUGCACAAGUAGGACAACCUGAACCAUUCAUUAGCCACCAUUAUAACCUUAUUUGUCAUAUCAUCAUUGCAAAUUCUUUACAUGAUAUAUAAAGUUAAUAUUCUUUCCUUAAGCAUAAAACCACGGGUCAUCAACGAUACGGGAGCCACAAAUACACAGAUUAUGAAGAUUUAAAUUCUGACUCCUCUAUAAUCCCCACAUCAGAUCCAAAAUCAGGAGAACUAUGACUGAAGUCAACAACCAAGCAGUAGAGUCAUUGAAUAUUAGUGUCCUUGGAAAAUGUCUUUGCACUCAUGAGCUGUUCCCCCUUUACUCCUAAAAAUAGCUGCUAUCUGAGGAUGCCUAAAUUAAGGGAUCCUGAUAUCGACAGGCCCAGGCAUAUAUUGUGGACAAUGAUGAGUAGAAAGUGCACCCGCUACCCACUCAGGGUGAUUACCUGCUCCUGGUAGAUCCCACAUCCCACCUCUGAGGGGACUGGCUCACAGAGCCUCCUUUUAGGAAGAUUCACUGUGCAAACCUUCUCUUUGGUGGGAUUUGUGUUACAAAUCCUUCCUUUGAUGGGAGCUCUCCUGGAUCACACUCACCACCUGCUCGUCCAUUCCCAGCUCAAACCCAGAAAGAAGACUUCCUUGGUCCUCAACCCCACAGCUCUUCCUGGGCACCCACUUCCCUUUCUCCCACGUCCCCCGCAGGGUCCCCAGGAGCUCCCACCAGCCUAGGGCAGGAUGUCCACUCUGUCCUAGGAAAGCUUCUAUGUUGUCAGGUGGAAGAAGAGGUACUCAUGGGGCCUCCCUCAAGCGGCACAGUGGCCAUCACCUACCCACCGACCUUGGCACGCUAGAUCUUCUGGUUCUUACCUCAUUCCAACAAUACCCACAGGGGAAUCAUGCUAAGCAACUCUGUGCUAGCUGCAAAGAGAGAACGCUUGUUCAUAUACCCCUCCCGGUGCUCGGGGCUCAUGUGGGCGGGCCCUUCCCAGGAUAUGGAGCUCACCUGAGCAGGUACCCUGACAGGGCUUAGCAUACAGGAACCAUGCACAGAGCUCCACCCCCAGCCCCGCUUAUCAGAGCUGACACUGAGUACCUCAGAGCAGGACCUGAACUAACAGCAGCUCCUGGAGAGGUCUGUGCCCCUGGGCUUGACUCUGUGCAGCCUCCCUCCUCUGGGUUUUCUAGAGGCUUCCACUGUGCCCAGAGUAUCUGGCCUCUGUCUCCACCCACCUCCCCUCCUAUCCCUAACUCCAGGAUUUCUCUCAUGAGGAGAGGGUCUUUUUGACAUUGUCUCCCAGUCAUGGGCCAGUUAAAAUGAUUAGAAAACAAGCUAGAGCUGCAGCCCCAUGUCCGCCCUGACGCUAAGAUCCCCCACCUGUUCCUUGGACUUGGCCCAUGCAGCAAGGCCCAUUUUCUGCAACCAUGAACCCCUGAUGGGUGAGGACUGCCUAACCUAGGCAGCCUGAGCCAUUCAGCCAGCCCUUCCCAGGUGUGCUGGGUUGAGAUCUGUAUAAAUAGCCCUUCUAGGCAACACAAGUACCUGCAGCUGUAUCUGAGCUCAUGCUUUCUACCUCAUCAGCAGUCAUGAAGCUGGGCUAGUUAAAGGUAAUGAGGAAUCACAGCCUUGCAGGUGGCCCAGUCUGAGUGGGCCUCUGCUGGACCUGACACAGGAGUUGCUAGGCCAACAUUUGCUUAGAAAGAGAUGUGUCACCCGUAUCUGCCACUGGAAGUUCUCCCCUGGCAGAGGUGAGAAAGCAAGAAAAAGGCAGAGAGGGUUCAGAGAGGAGGAAUAAUUUAGGCAAAGUGAAGGCUUCCGGAAAAGCCCUUAGGCCAAAACCAUCCUGCAUGGCCUGCAGAUGCCAAUUCAGCAAGCAUGCUGUCAUGGGCAUGGUGCCACACCCUUUCUUCCAGCUUUGAAAGUCUAUGCACAUAUUCAGGUAGUUUACCUGGGAAGGGUGGAUGAGGCUCAGGAGCAGCAUUUACCAACAUUUACCUAGAGACCCCUCCACACGGUCCAUCAGCUUUCCAGUGAAGAUGCUUCAUAUGCGGGGCUGCUGUCUGCAUAGGAGAAAAUUUCCCACCCCUGAGCAACUUCACAAUUGUUCAUCAGUGUAGUAAGUGUCCUAAUUGGGUUUUUAUCUGUGUAACUGAUGGGUUCUUAAUUAGCAGUGUGAACAGCUAUAUCAAAGGUCCUCAAGUGGGGUUAAAAUUCCCCAUGUGUACAGGGGAAAGAAGCUGGGGAAGCUGUGUGCAGCCAGCACGCUUAGGGAAGGGCUUCAGACUUGACCAACAUUCUAGUGUCCUGCCACUGCUUUUGGGAUUUCUGGGGGCCCAGUGCUGACUCUGAGGUCUCUGUAAUCUGGCCUUUAUUGGCCUUUAGAGACACUCACGCUUCCAGGAUCCUAUAGAGCAGGGUCUGUGACUCUUCUGUGGCCUCUCUAAAAAAUGACCACAAGCUGGGUGGUUUCAAACAAGAGGAAUCCAUCCUCCCCCAGUCCUAGAGACCAGACAUCUGAGAUCAAGGUGUUUCAGGGCUGAGGUCCCUCCAGAGGCUCCAGGGGAGGGUUCUUCCUGCCUCUUCCAGCUUCUGGGGGGGGGGAGGGGGUCCCAGGGUCUCCAGGCUUGUGCCUGCCUCCCUCCCAUCUCUGCCUCAUCUUCACAUGGCUUCUCCUCUGUUUCUGUGUCUCCUCUUUUGACUCUUAUCAGGACUCUGUCAUUGAAAUUAGGGCCACUCUAACCAAGAUUACCUCAUCUCAACCACAUUUGGAAAGACAGUUUUCCCAGGUGUGGUCCUAUUCCCAUGUUCUGGGAAACACAGCUUUUGGGAAAAAAAAAAAAAAAA
rnacentral:lncRNA from 1 species